GCAAGGCCUUGCGUCGAUGGAGCGGCCGAUGCCGGAUUAGCUAGUUGGUGAGGUAAAGGCUCACCAAGGCGACGAUCCCGUAGCUGGUCUGAGAGGACGACCAGCCACACUGGGACUGAGACACGGCCCAGACUCCUACGGGAGGCAGCAGUGGGGAAUCUUGGACAAUGGGCGAAAGCCUGAUCCAGCAAUGCCGCGUGUGGGAAGAAGGCCUUCGGGUUGUAAACCACUUUUGGCGGGAAAGAAAUGGUCUGUGCUAAUACCACGGAUUGAUGACGGUACCCGCAGAAUAAGCACCGGCUAACUACGUG
rnacentral:rRNA from 1 species